GGGCGUGACGCUAGUUGGCGUGAUACUUUGCAAAGGUAUUGUAGAUAUAUUUUUGUCCUCGUCUU
rnacentral:tRNA from 1 species